UACGUAGGGGGCAAGCGUUGUCCGGAAUUAUUGGGCGUAAAGAGCGUGUAGGCGGCCAGAUAAGUCCGCUGUGAAAUCUCGAGGCUCAACUUCGAGCUGUCGGUGGAAACCAUCUGGCUAGAGUCCGGAAGAGGAGAGUGGAAUUCCUGGUGUAGCGGUGAAAUGCGCAGAUAUCAGGAGGAACACCGGUGGCGAAGGCGGGUCUCUGGGCCGAUAUUGACGCUGAGGAGCGAAAGCGUGGGGAGCGAACAGG
rnacentral:rRNA from 1 species